GGGUAUAACCAAUGAGGAGAUUGCACGCUACUGUUUGGAACCACCAGGAUGCGUGGCAUCAGAACAUUCCAGGCAUUCCCGUGAUUGGCAGGUAGUAGGUUAAUUGGCAGGUCGGACCCCGCGAACACUGGGUACUGGUUAGCAUUGAAGAGUUUUCCCCCACAGCCAGGAUGACCAAGUGCCCACACUUUGACAGGAACAUUCUGUGUCCACCAUCAACACAGGAGCUGGGGGACCUGAUGGAGGAGGCUCGCAUGCGCAUCCUGAAGGCACAGGUCUGGGUCACUUCACUGGAUCACACUCAAAACUAUAUUCAUGAUGCCAUCAUAUUCACCCUGACCUCACGUAAAGUGGUAGUGGUUCUACACACCUCACUAUUUCAAGUCCUGACCAGGCUUAAUUGAGAGGGAGAAAGAGGGAGCAGGAUGGCGGAUCAAGGCUGUGUACCUUUAGAGCAACUAUCUUCUUAGAUAGAACCAUCAAAGGAA
rnacentral:lncRNA from 1 species